rnacentral:sRNA from 1 species
UCCAACCAAGAUGCGUAUUUUGGAGAUA